rnacentral:rRNA from 1 species
GACGAACGCUGGCGGCGUGGAUUAGGCAUGCAAGUCGAACGGUAUCAUCCUUUCGGGGGUGAGAGAGUGGCGAACUGGUGAGUAACACGUAGGUUAUCUACCCUCAAGACGGGGACAACCCAGGGAAACUUGGGCUAAUACCGGAUGUGAGCAACUUUUAGUUGUUUGAAAGGUGGCGUAAGCUGUCGCUUGGGGAUGAGCCUGCGUCCUAUUAGUUAGUUGGUGAGGUAACGGCUCACCUAGGCAAUGAUAGGUAGGCGGCCUUAACGGGUGGUCGCCCACACUGGGAUUGAGAUACGGCCCAGACUCCUACGGGAGGCAGCAGUCGAGAAUAGUCUACAAUGGUCGGAAGACUGAUAGUGCGACGCCGCGUGAACGAUGAAUCCCUUCGGGGUGUAAAGUUCUUUUAUAUGUGAGCAGUGCUUCUUAUAUUAACAGUAUGGGGAGAGAGAUAUUAGCAUAUGAAUAAGCAACGGCUAACUCGUGCCAGCAGCCGCGGUAAUCA